UCCGGGUUGGACCCGGCGGUCCCGCCAGACAUGGUAACUGGCAGCGAGGGUUGCGCUCGUUGCGGGACUUAACCCAACAUCUCACGACACGAGCUGACGACGGCCAUGCAGCACCUGUCACUAGGCUCCCGAAGGCACUCCAGCGUUUCUGCCGGAUUCCUAGGAUGUCAAGCCUCGGUAAGGUUCUUCGCGUAGCUUCGAAUUAAACCACAUCAUCCACCGCUUGUGCGGGUCCCCGUCAAUUCCUUUGAGUUUUAGCCUUGCGGCCGUACUUCCCAGGCGGCAAACUUAACGCGUUAGCUUCUCAGCACAGGGGGUCGAUACCCCAUACUAAUAGUUUGCAUCGUUUACGGCGUGGACUAC
rnacentral:misc_RNA from 1 species